rnacentral:rRNA from 1 species
AACGAACGCUGGCGGCAUGCCUAACACAUGCAAGUCGAACGAGACCUUCGGGUCUAGUGGCGCACGGGUGCGUAACGCGUGGGAAUCUGCCCUUUGCUUCGGAAUAACAGUUAGAAAUGACUGCUAAUACCGGAUGAUGUCUUCGGACCAAAGAUUUAUCGGCAAAGGAUGAGCCCGCGUAGGAUUAGGUAGUUGGUGGGUAAAGGCCUACCAAGCCGACGAUCCUUAGCUGGUCUGAGAGGAUGAUCAGCCACACUGGGACUGAGACACGGCCCAGACUCCUACGGGAGGCAGCAGUGGGGAAUAUUGGACAAUGGGCGCAAGCCUGAUCCAGCAAUGCCGCGUGAGUGAUGAAGGCCUUCGGUCGUAAGACUCUUUACCUAGGAUGAUAAUGACAGUACCUGGAGAAUAAGACUCCGGUCUAACCUACCGUUGCCAGCAGCCGCGGUAAU